rnacentral:misc_RNA from 1 species
UCAAACUUGGUCAUUUAGAGGAAGUAAAAGUCGUAACAAGGUUUCCGUAGGUGAACCUGCGGAAGGAUCAUUAUUGAAUAUAAAACUUGGUAGAUUGUUGCUGGCUCUCUCAGAGCAGGUGCACGUCUAUCAUUUUUAUCUUUCCAUCAUGUGCACUAUGCAUAAACCUGAACAUUGUUGAUCCAAGCCUUGCUUUUGAUCUUUGGAGAUUGCUAUCUUACAAAUGGCUUUCUCUGUGUUCAGUUUAUGAAUUUAUAUACACACCAGAGUAUGUUAAAGAACGUUAUACAGGCCGUCAAAGCCUAUAAAUGUGUAAUACAACUUUCAGCAACGGAUCUCUUGGCUCUCGCAUCGAUGAAGAACGCAGC